rnacentral:rRNA from 1 species
UACGAAGGGGGCUAGCGUUGUUCGGAAUCACUGGGCGUAAAGCGCACGUAGGCGGAUCUUUUAAGUCAGAGGUGAAAUCCCAAGGCUCAACCUUGGAACUGCCUUUGAUACUGGGGAUCUUGAGUCCGGGAGAGGUGAGUGGAACUGCGAGUGUAGAGGUGAAAUUCGUAGAUAUUCGCAAGAACACCAGUGGCGAAGGCGGCUCACUGGCCCGAUACUGACGCUGAGGCACGGAAAGCGUGGGGAGCAAACAGGG